UCCUGUAUGAUAGUUCAGAUUGAACACCUUCUCUAGUUCUUUAGUGUGUGUCAUUACACCUGUUCCUCUGGAGAUCCCCUGAGAAGGUUAUAAAUUCCCCCUUUGACACCUACCUGAAACUUGGCUUCAUUUUUUAUUCUAAUGGCAAUUUUAUAUAUAUAUUUUUGACAGACAGACAGAUAGAUAGACCACUUCUCAGAGUCUCCCGGUACGAUGUAAUGUCUUUAUUUAAUGUAAGUCAGUGAUUUGAUGUGGCCCUCCAAUCACUUUUAUCUGACUUUCCAAAUGAUUUUGAUAAAAUCACGGCAAACAUCCAAACGUUCUCUGAGCAAAACUCAGCAGUGAGUUUAACAACACUCAACAUGUUCAACAGCAUCGGUGCUUGUCGAGCAAUCCGUGGCCCAGUUCCAGAGGAGCGCGCGUGUUUAAGCUUGUCUGGACAUAGUUCGGUUUCACGCUUCUCCAAAACAUGAACCAGCAACUUUUGGCUGUCUCAAUUGCUUCUAUCUCUUCAUUUAAUCCCAGACUGACUCGGUGUUCAGAAGGGGGUCUGUGGGGGCCGUGACAUCUGUUGCAGGGCUCCCUGUUCUUCUAUUCUAAUCUUUUCUAUUUGCAAAAGUAAUGUUUGGGAGUCUAAAAUUUAUAUUUCCUAUUGACACACUAAAGCUGAAGAUAUACAUAAGACUUUUGCACAGUACUGUAUGUGUCAAUAUUGACAAAGAUACAUACUUAAGCAGGUCUAAUUAUUCUUCCUCAGUUUUCAUAAAUAAUACCCCUACUUUGUAUGUUUUUAUUUUCAAAGUAAAGCUAAUCAAAACCUAUUUGUUAGUUGAGGAUGUAAGGUCAUAUUUGUUCUUCAGCCAGAUCUUACUAAGGAAUUUAUAGCCAGACCUUGAAAUGUUAUUUAAAUACCUCUUUUAACGUAAUUAAAUGACUAUUUUAAUGUAAAUAAACACAUUAUUAACCGUUUUGUUUUUACAUGUUAACAUGAUAGUUACGAUAGUUAAAAAAUAAAAAAAAAUAAAAAUGUUCUUCUACUUCAAGCUCUGGAUGGAUGGAUGAACAGACAGACAGACAGACAGACCAAGCAGGGCAGCAUGUUUGAGGACAAAAAGCAAAGGGAUCAAAUAAACACCUGUCCUCUUCCCCAUUCUUCCUUUCAGAUGGAGCUCAGAGUAAUGAGAUUCCUGUUCAUCAAUAAUGAAGGGAAAGAAGCAGUUGUGUAGACAGAACCAGAGCUCCUAGGACAGAACUCAUGGAUGGGUCAAUGAUGUUACAGAUUACCCUCAUUCACCUGAAAUCAAUUAUUUAAUAAAGGAUGAAAGAUUUACGUUAUAUCAACAUUUAGGUCUGUCCAGACUAAUUUGAAUGAUUAUCAACUAAAAAUGGCCAGCUCUGAUCCUAAAUCAGCGUGUUGUAGUAGAAAGGUAGGCUUGAUAUUUAAAUGAUAAAUUGCCUCAUUUACUUUAUUGUAUGCUAAUGUUCUCUGUAUCCAAUGGCAAG